rnacentral:rRNA from 1 species
GACGAACCGUGCGAACGUUGUUCGGAUUCACUGGGCUUAAAGGGCGCGUAGGCGGACAAGCAAGUCAAGGGUGAAAUCUUUCAGCUUAACUGGAAACGUGCCUUUGAUACUGCUUGUCUCGAGGGAGGCAGGGGCAUGCGGAACUUCCGGUGGAGCGGUGAAAUGCGCACAUAUCAGGAGGAACACCGGUGGCGAAGGCGGGUCUCUGGGCCGAUAUUGACGCUGAGGAGCGAAAGCGUGGGGAGCGAACAGG